rnacentral:rRNA from 1 species
UACAGAGGUCUCAAGCGUUGUUCGGAUUCAUUGGGCGUAAAGGGUGCGUAGGUGGCGCCGUAAGUCAGGUGUGAAAUUUCGGAGCUUAACUCCGAAACUGCAUUUGAUACUGCCGUGCUUGAGGACUGGAGAGGAGACUGGAAUUUACGGUGUAGCGGUGAAAUGCGUAGAUAUCGUAAGGAAGACCAGUGGCGAAGGCGGGUCUCUGGACAGUUCCUGACGCUGAGGCACGAAGGCCAGGGGAGCAAACGGG